UACGGAGGAUGCAAGCGUUAUCCGGAAUGAUUGGGCGUAAAGCGUCCGCAGGUGGUUGUGUGUGUCUAUUGUCAAAGCAUCAUGCUUAACAUGAUAAAGGCAGUAGAAACUACACGACUAGAGUGCGUUCGGGGCAGAGGGAAUUCCUGGUGUAGCGGUGAAAUGCGUAGAGAUCAGGAAGAACACCGGUGGCGAAAGCGCUCUGCUAGGCCGCAACUGACACUGAGGGACGAAAGCUAGGGGAGCGAAGGGG
rnacentral:rRNA from 1 species